rnacentral:rRNA from 1 species
AGCAGCCGCGGUAAUUCCAGCUCCAAUAGCGUAUAUUAAAGUUGUUGCAGUUAAAAAGCUCGUAGUUGAAUUUCGGGAUCAAUAUGUCGGUCGUGCCUUCGGUACGCACUGGUAUCAUUGGUUUCUCCUUUCUGACGAACCAUGAUGUCAUUAAUUUGGUGUUAUGGGGAGUUAGGACUGUUACUUUGAAAAAAUUAGAGUGUUUAAAGCAGGCUUUAGCUUGAAUACAUUAGCAUGGAAUAAUGAAAUAGGACGUUCGAACCUAUUUUGUUGGUUUCUAGGAUCAACGUAAUGAUUAAUAGGGAUAGUUGGGGGCAUUAGUAUUCAAUUGUCAGAGGUGAAAUUCUUGGAUUUAUUGAAGACUAACUACUGCGAAAGCAUNUGCCAAGGAUGUUUUCAUUAAUCAAGAACGAAAGUUAGGGGAUCGAAGACGAUCAGAUACCGUCGUAGUCUUAACCAUAAACUAUGCCGACUAGGGAUCGGNUGAUGUUAAUUUUUUAAUGACUCA